CUUUCCUCAGCUUUUCCAACUGGGGCUUACACAGACUGCUGUGAAAUACUUGCUUCAGUUGAGGUCUCAUCUUGAACACCAAAAGGAGCUCAGGAUAUUUGUCCAUAUAACCGAGGCUGAGAGCUUGUAGCUCCCAUGGAAGAAAAGGCUCAGCAAACAUUAAUUCAUUAAUUUCUUGAAUGGGCAGCCAAGACCCUGAUUAUCUGGAACUGCUGCCUUUUAUCUUUUUAAUCUUGCAUCCUGUCUUCAGUGGAUAUUUUCCCUACUGUUAACUACCACCCAUCUAUGGCAUGUUUAGUGGCUGUUUGUUGAUAUCCAGAAAUCUCUUCCCUAAAUGCUGCUUGCAUGAAAAGCAUAAGGGCUUGGUGAAUCAAAUAAAAAUAGAUGUAAAUGCUUUUUUUUUUUUUCUUCGUGUCAGGAGCAACCUGAGUCGCUUCUGAAGUGAGAGAAUUGGCCGUCUGCAAGGACGUUGCCCAGGGGACGCCCGGAUGUUUUGAUGUUUUUUACCAUCUUUGUGGGAGGCUUUUCUCAUGUCCCCGCAUGGAGCUGGAGCUGAUACAGGGAGCUCAUCCGCGCUCUCCCCAGGGAAACACGGUAGCAACUUCCAGAAAUGUUGGACAACAGAUACCAGCAACUCAAGACAAUAUAUGAAUGUUACAAGAUUUAGUCGAAGUCACCUGCCAGACUGUAGGAGGCAAAUUGAAGAAGAACCACUGUUUAAGCAUUCAUCAGGCUCCUUUGGCAGACAGCACUGA
rnacentral:lncRNA from 11 species